rnacentral:rRNA from 1 species
GUAUUAAAGGUGCUGCCUGCCCAGUGAAACAUUUCAACGGCCGCGGUAUCCUAACCGUGCAAAGGUAGCGUAAUCACUUGUCUUCUAAAUAAAGACUCGUAUGAAAGGCUAAAUGAAGACAAAACUGUCUCUUAUAGUUGACCAGUAAAACUGAUCUCCAAGUACAAAAGCUUGGAUAAACACAUAAGACGAGAAGACCCUGUGGAGCUUUAAACUACACUAUUACAACAAAUAGCAUAAGUUUUAAGUUGGGGCGACUUCGGAAUAAAAUAAAACUUCCGAGCACAGAGACAAUAACUCUAACACAGACCAACAAGUCAAAGAACAAUAAUGACCCAGUCACACUGAACAACGAACCAAGUUACCCCAGGGAUAACAGCGCCAUCUUCUUCAAGAGUCCAUAUCGACAAGAAGGUUUACGACCUCGAUGUUGGAUCAGGACACCCAAAUGGUGCAGAAG